AUUGAACGCUGGCGGCAUGCUUUACACAUGCAAGUCGAGCGGCAGCGCGGGGGCAACCCUGGCGGCGAGCGGCGAACGGGUGAGUAAUGCAUCGGAACGUAUCCUCGAGUGGGGGAUAACCCAGCGAAAGUUGGGCUAAUACCGCAUGAGCUCUGAGGAGGAAAGCGGGGGACCUGCGAGGGCCUCGCGCUGGAGGAGCGGCCGAUGUCCGAUUAGCUAGUUGGUGGGGUAAAGGCUUACCAAGGCGACGAUCGGUAGCUGGUCUGAGAGGAUGAUCAGCCACACUGGGACUGAGACACGGCCCAGACUCCUACGGGAGGCAGCAGUGGGGAAUUUUGGACAAUGGGGGCAACCCUGAUCCAGCGAUGCCGCGUGAGUGAAGAAGGCCUUCGGGUUGUAAAGCUCUUUCGGACGGAACGAAAUGGGCGGGACUAAUACUCCUGUCUGAUGACGGUACCGUAAGAAGAAGCACCGGCUAACUACGUG
rnacentral:rRNA from 1 species